GAUGAACGCUAGCGAUAGGCUUAACACAUGCAAGUCGAGGGGCAGCACGGAAUAGCAAUAUUUUGGUGGCGACCGGCGCACGGGUGAGUAACACGUAUGCAAUCUACCCAUAACUGUGGAAUAACCCGUCGAAAGGCGGCCUAAUACCGCAUAACAACAGUUGACCGCAUGGUUUACUGUUUAAAGCUUUAUCGGUUAUGGAUGGGCAUGCGUUCCAUUAGGUAGUUGGCGGGGCAACGGCCCACCAAGCCUGCGAUGGAUAGGGGUUCUGAGAGGAAGGUCCCCCACACUGGUACUGGGACACGGACCAGACUCCUACGGGAGGCAGCAGUGAGGAAUAUUGGUCAAUGGGCGAGAGCCUGAACCAGCCAAAUCGCGUGAAGGAUGAAGGUAUUAUGUAUUGUAAACUUCUUUUACAGGGGAAUAAAGUGCGGGACGUGUCCCGUUUUGUAUGUACCCUGGGAAUAAGGAUCGGCUAACUCCGUGCCAGCAGCCGCCGUAA
rnacentral:rRNA from 1 species